AUUGAACGCUGGCGGCAGGCCUAACACAUGCAAGUCGAGCGGAGAGGCGGACGGGUGAGUAAUGCCUAGGAAUCUGCCUGGUAGUGGGGGAUAACGUCCGGAAACUGGCGCUAAUACCGCAUACUCUCAGAUGAGCCUAGGUGGGAUUAGCUAGUUGGUGGUGUAAAGGCCUCCCAAGGCGACUAUCCGUAACUGGUCGGAGAGGAUGAUCAGGCACACUGGAACUGAGACACGGGCCAGACUCCAACGGGAGGCAGCAGUGGGGAAUAUUGGACAAUGGGAGAAAGCCUGAUCCAGCCAUGCCGCGUGUGUGAAGAAGGUCUUCGGAUUGGAAAGCACUUUAAGUUGGGAGGCGUUACCAACAGAAUAAGCACCGGCUAACUUCGUGCCAGCAGCCGCGGUAAUAC
rnacentral:rRNA from 1 species